GACGAACGCUGGCGGCGUGCCUAACACAUGCAAGUCGAACGGUGUAAGUAGCAAUACUUACUUAGUGGCGAACGGGUGAGUAACGCGUAGACAACCUGCCUCUAAAUUGGGGACAACACCGCGAAAGUGGUGCUAAUACCGAAUGUGGUAACUUGGUCGCAUGACUGAGUUAAGAAAGAUGGCCUCUACCUGUAAGCUAUCGAUUAGAGAUGGGUCUGCGUCUGAUUAGCUAGUUGGUGAGGUAAUGGCUCACCAAGGCGACGAUCAGUAGCCGGUCUGAGAGGAUGAACGGCCACACUGGGACUGAGACACGGCCCAGACUCCUACGGGAGGCAGCAGUGGGGAAUCUUCCGCAACGGACGAAAGUCUGACGGAGCAACGCCGCGUGAGUGAAGAAGGUUUUCGGAUCGUAAAGCUCUGUCGUUUGGGACGAACGUAUCUUGUGUGAAUAAUGCAAGGUAAUGACGGUACCAAAGGAGGAAGCCACAGCUAACUACGUGCCAGCAGCAGCCGCCG
rnacentral:rRNA from 1 species